CCUACGGGUGACAGCAGUGGGGAAUAUUGGGCAAUGGGCGCAAGCCUGACCCAGCAACGCCGCGUGAAGGAAGAAGGCUUUCGGGAUGUAAACCUCUUUUCGCAGGGACGAAGAAAGUGACGGUAACUGAGGAAUAAGCCACGGCUAACUACGUGCCAGCAGCCGCGGUAAUACGUAGGGGGCAAGCGUUAUCCGGAUUUAAUGGGUGUAAAGGGCGGGGAGGCGGGAGCGCAAGGCAGGUGUGAAACGUCCGGGCUCAACCCUGGGCCUGCUUUUGAAACUGUGUUUCUUGAGUGCUGGGGUGGCAAUCGGAAUUCCUUGUGUAGCGGUGAAAUGCGUAGCUAUUCGGAGGAACACCAGUGGCGAAGGCGGCUUGCUGGACAGUAACUGACGCUGAGGCGCGAAAGCGUGGGGAGCAAACAGGAUUAGAUACCCGAGUAGUC
rnacentral:rRNA from 1 species